rnacentral:rRNA from 1 species
UACAGAGGUCCCAAGCGUUGUUCAGAUUCAUUGGGCGUAAAGGGUGCGUAGGCGGCGCGGUAAGUCGGGUGUGAAAUCUCGGAGCUUAACUCCGAAACUGCAUUCGAUACUGCCGUGCUUGAGGACUGGAGAGGAGACUGGAAUUUACGGUGUAGCGGUGAAAUGCGUAGAUAUCGUAAGGAAGACCAGUGGCGAAGGCGGGUCUCUGGACAGUUCCUGACGCUGAGGCACGAAGGCCAGGGGAGCAAACGGG